rnacentral:rRNA from 1 species
GGGGAAUCUUAGACAAUGGGCGCAAGCCUGAUCUAGCCAUGCCGCGUGAUCGAUGAAGGCCUUAGGGUUGUAAAGAUCUUUCAGCUGGGAAGAUAAUGACGGUACCAGCAGAAGAAGCCCCGGCUAACUCCGUGCCAGCAGCCGCGGUAAUACGGAGGGGGCUAGCGUUGUUCGGAAUUACUGGGCGUAAAGCGCACGUAGGCGGAUUGGAAAGUCAGAGGUGAAAUCCCAGGGCUCAACCUUGGAACUGCCUUUGAAACUAUCAGUCUAGAGGUCGAGAGAGGUGAGUGGAAUUCCGAGUGUAGAGGUGAAAUUCGUAGAUAUUCGGAGGAACACCAGUGGCGAAGGCGGCUCACUGGCUCGAUACUGACGCUGAGGUGCGAAAGCGUGGGGAGCAAAC